GGGAGAGCCACAGGAACCAGCCCUGCCACAAAGAAUCCACAGAGCCCCUCAGCAUCAAGCACGGCUGCCCAGGGUCCCUAUCCUCUGCUGACCCAGUGCCAGGCCUGAGGGAUCCACCCAGGAGCUGAUAGGGACCUGCCUCUAUGGAACUCACGCCCAGCAUCUUCUACACUCAUGUCCAUCCUUUUACCUUUCAAGGACCCUGGAUUCCUCUACUGUCUUUCAAGGCCACGGGAGUAGAAGAAUGGAUAGGACUUGAGGAUGGUGGCAGAAAGAUAAAAGAAUACUGAGGUGCCAAGAGGUCCAGAGGGUUUCCCAAGACCACCCAGUGGGAAGUAACAAAACCAAGGUUAGAAGCAGAGCCUUUUUGUACUUAUUCAGAGUCCUUUUCUUGAGGUUGUGGUUCUCAACCUGGGCAAUGCUUCAGAAUCACCUGCAGAGCUUCUAAACCCCACCAGGCCCCCAGAGACUGCCACCCAGUUCUGGUGGUGACCCUUACAGGACGUUUUUGAAGACUCCUGGUUAUGCUCACAGGUAGGGGACAUCUCGGGCAUCUAAUUAGGCUUGCAUCCCCUCUGCGUGAAUGUGGAUUCCAGUCUCCUCCCUGCUCAAGGUCUAUCUCUGCAUCUACCUCCCAGAAGACUUACUAUCCGGGAGGAUCGGCAGCUCUAUUUCUUCUGCUUUCACCCACCCCUGCCAGACUGUGGAGGUUUAGAAAGUUCCUCAGCUCAGCCUGGUGAGUGCAGAGACUAUCGGCUCCGGGGCCCACCAUUGGGGCCACCGGACAUGGGGUUGACUGUGUUGUCUUGGCAAGCAGGAAGGAGGAGAAGCAGCCCCACCUGGCCCCGUCAGCCAGGAGAAGGCCAAGGGGGUGAGGAGUAGCCCUGAGUGACCUAGGCUGAGAGGAAAGAGGGAAAGAGAUGGAAAGAAAAGAAAGGAGAAGAGGAGGAGAGCCAACCCCUUGGAAGAUUAUUUCAAGCCGCUCUGUGCUGAAACCACCUCACCCGGCCACUGCAGGAGAGGUGACCUGGCACAGCAUUCAGGAGCACAGACACGGCGGUGGCCUGUCUGAGCUCUAAUCCAGGUUCUGCUUAUGAGUAGCAUGACUUGGCUCCAGGAGGAAGGAAAUUACCCUUCAAAAUCCAGAGCAGAACGGUGCCUAGCUGACUCAGUCAGGAGAACAUGAAGCUCUUAAUCUCAGGGUUGUGAGUUCAAGCCCUACCCUGUGCCUCCAUUUCCUUAUCAUUAAAAUACCGAUUAUAGCGGUGCCUGGGUGGCUCAGUCAUUGGGCGCCUGUCUUAGGCUCUGGUCACGAUCCCAGGGUCCUUGGAUCAAGCUCUGCUUCAGGCUCCCUGCUCAGUGGGAGGCCUGCUUCUCCCUCUCCCACUCCCCCUGCUUGUGUUCCCUCUCUCGCUGUGUC